rnacentral:rRNA from 1 species
UACGUAGGGUGCAAGCGUUAAUCGGAAUUACUGGGCGUAAAGCGUGCGCAGGCGGUUUUGUAAGUCUGUCGUGAAAUCCCCGGGCUCAACCUGGGAAUUGCGAUGGAGACUGCAAGGCUAGAAUCUGGCAGAGGGGGGGUAGAAUUCCACGUGUAGCAGUGAAAUGCGUAGAGAUGUGGAGGAACACCGAUGGCGAAGGCAGCCCCCUGGGUCAAGAUUGACGCUCA